AAUCAACGCUGGCGGCGUGCCUCAGACAUGCAAGUCGAACGCGAAAGUCUCCUUCGGGGGGUACACGAGCGGCGAACGGGUGAGUAACACGUGGGUGACCUGCCCUCAGCUCUGGGAUAAGCCUGGGAAACUGGGUCUAAUACUGGAUAUGACUCCACGGUGCAUGUCGUGGGGUGGAAAGCCUUGUGCGGCUGAGGAUGGGCCCGCGGCCUAUCAGCUUGUUGGNGGGGUGAUGGCCUACCAAGGCGACGACGGGUAGCCGGCCUGAGAGGGCGACCGGCCACACUGGGACUGAGACACGGCCCAGACUCCUACGGGAGGCAGCAGUGGGGAAUCUUGCGCAAUGGGCGAAAGCCUGACGCAGCGACGCCGCGUGAGGGAUGACGG
rnacentral:rRNA from 1 species